UGCUUAUCAGAAAGCUUCAAAGUGUUACAGCUGUGGUCAACUGGGGAUGGUGACGCGAGAGCGGAUCAGCCAGGAUGGGUCCCCGUUUGAUGGAUCCCCGGAUAGCCUGAUUCCAGCCAGAGCAGCUCGGGCCCUCGAACUGCCUGUGGAUGCAGAUCUGGGAAACCAAAAAGGGGUCCGCAACCUCUACUUCCAGCAGCGCAGCAGCAAGCAGACGCAGCAGAGCGCCCCGCCUCGCCUCCCGGCAUGUACCGCGCCCCCCGUGCCAGCCCGUCUGGAUUUCUGAAGCCUCGGACUAUCUCUGCUCAUACUGCUUUGCGUGGAACAACGUGGUUCCAAAACUGAGAGAAAGUCAGAUGAAAGACGCUGUAACAGAGACUUUUCUCCGUGGUCCCGCCCCGUGGGUUUCUGGGAGAAAAGUUUACCUUCUGAGUGUUUUAUGCCUUUAACUUUUCCUGUUUGAUUUAAGGAUUGCCCAUGUGCUCUCCCCGCGGUGCCGCGAGAGGACGCCUCCCUCCACUCCAACUCCGGUAGUGAAGGAGCUGGAGGGAUGGCCUGGCGGGGGGUUGGCAGAGCGGCUCGGGUUUCUUGGUCCCGGCUCUUCCCCCUCCCGCUGUGCGGCGCGGCAAGCGCUGCUGUAGGAUUAGCACAGAGCGGCGGGGGAUGGGCGCGGCUUCCUCGCUUCCACGGAGCGGCUUUGUCCUCGCUCCCCACCCUCCCGGGGGCGACGAACGAAAGGCAGGUUCAAGGAAUUACAUCAGAUACCCACCACCUUCCAGGAGUGAAAAGGGACACGUGUUUCAGGAUUUAAGAAGAUACCUAGUGAUGCUAAAGAUCAACAUCUUCAGCUGAUAGACUUUUCCUUGAGUUUCAUUUAUUUGGACUCUAAACCAAAAACUAUUAAUUUUCCAAAAAGAUGUAAUUGUACCUCAUAUAAUAUCUCACACGCCUUUGGUUUGUUUGUAGUUACCAACGGCUGUGGGUCUACUUUGUGGUAAUUGGGAUCUUGUAGAUUUUUAGGAAUCAGGUUCAUCAAGCAAAUUCCUCCAUUGAUAUUGUGAAAAACGAAGUUCACUCCUGUAAAAUUUUAAAACAGUUUAAUAAAGACAAUAAGAGACAUAGAGUAAA